rnacentral:tRNA from 1 species
GCGGCCGUAGCUGACCGGUCACGGUGUUCGCUUUGUAAGCGAAUGAUCCUGGGUUCGAUUCCCAUCUGCUCCC